rnacentral:rRNA from 1 species
GACGAACGCUGGCGGCGUGCCUAAUACAUGCAAGUAGAACGCUGAAGCGAGGAGCUUGCUCUUCUUGGAUGAGUUGCGAACGGGUGAGUAACGCGUAGGUAACCUGCCUUGUAGCGGGGGAUAACUAUUGGAAACGAUAGCUAAUACCGCAUAACAAUGGAUGACACAUAUCAUUUAUUUGAAAGGGGCAAUUGCUCCACUACAAGAUGGACCUGCGUUGUAUUAGCUAGUAGGUGAGGUAAUGGCUCACCUAGGCGACGAUACAUAGCCGACCUGAGAGGGUGAUCGGCCACACUGGGACUGAGACACGGCCCAGACUCCUACGGGAGGCAGCAGUAGGGAAUCUUCGGCAAUGGGGGCAACCCUGACCGAGCAACGCCGCGUGAGUGAAGAAGGGUUUCGGAUCGUAAAGCUCUGUUGUAAGUCAAGAACGGGUGUGAGAGUGGAAAGUUCACACUGUGACGGUAGCUUACCAGAAAGGGACGGCUAACUACGUG